AAGGAUCAUUCAUAACAAGUGUUUUAUGGCACUUUUUAAAUCCAUAUCCACCUUGUGUGCAAUGUCGGUUGGUUCUCUUUGAAAAAAAGAGGCCAGCCAAACAUCAACCCUAUCUUAACUCUUUGUCUGAAAAAUAUUAUGAAUAAACAAUUCAAAUACAACUUUCAACAACGGAUCUCUUGGCUCUC
rnacentral:misc_RNA from 1 species